rnacentral:lncRNA from 1 species
AUCCAUACUCAUGUUGAUUUUUCAAUCAACUAGCUUUAGGACUUUGAGAUAUCAUAGGCCAAAUGAAACGGAUGCAUAAAGAAUGGGAAAUAGAUGAAGAGGGAGGGGAAUGGAUCAAAACUCAAAUUGGUCAAAGUAGGACUUUUACCAAAUUAAUAUCAUUCAUUCAUUUUAGGAGAUGGAAUGUACAUUCCAUCAAUCCCCUAAAUCCAAUGAUAUUAACUUAACAAAGUCAAAUCAACCUUGACCAAUGC